CUUAAAGAGCUGUUUACUCAUGUUUGGUAAAGCAUUCUGCAGAAUAAAUAUAGUGUUCUAGCUUGUGGCUAAUCUAUUGGCAAUAAACUGCUUCAGUAGCUCUCCUUCUCCUUUAAAGCUAGUUCGCAAAGAAUUUAUUAACCCUUGGAACCGUAAAGGAAUGUAUUAAUAUUCUCUAUCUUUCUUGUCUAAGCCAUGUAAAUACAUUUUCCACUUGGAGUUUAGUUUUUGUUAGGUCUUUUUGUUAUCUAAACUGAAAUGUAUAGCUUUGUUAAUGUACGAACUUCGCAGUUCUGGUAGAAUCUCCUUAACAGAAGGUGAAGUGGACAAUCCAAUUUUACCCGCUUAAUAUUGAGCAUUAUUCUACACAAAGCAGAAGGUUUUACUGUGUAAAACAUUUUAUCUAUAACAAUGGCUAAAAAGCUGAGGGGGGCUUUUACACCUAGGUUCCAUCAACCCAUUAGAUACAAUGCAAUGCUCUAUCCUACAUCUAGCUGUUGAAGAAGCUGUAGCUUUGACCACAUUUUCUAAGCCCCUCCCACUAAGCAAACUGUUGCAGAUAAACCAGCAGAAGAACAGAGGCACAUUUCAUGUUUGGAGUCCCCAAAAGCAAAGAUGAGGAUUUCUGGUCUACUUGCCAUUUUCAUUACAGGAGUUAUGGGACAGUACACUGUAGAUCAGCCCAGCAAUCAGAAUGUUAUAGAAGGGAAUCCUUUUCAAAUCAACUGCUCCUAUACAGGCACCGAAAGAACCUUGCAAUGGUACCGGCAGAUUCGUAACCAACCACCACAAGCACUGCUGUUAUUAAUUAAUACUGGUUACAAAUCAGAAAAUGGUUUUACUAUGUAUUUGGACAUAAAGAGCAAGUUCACCUUUCUAUACAAGAAUACAACUCGGAUAGAAGAUUCAGCAGUAUAUCAUUGUGCACUGGAAGCACAGCAGUUUCGACUCAUACGAGCAGAGUACAAUAUCCUGAUGCAAGACAUGAGAUACCUGUUAAAUAUGGAACUAUUUUGUGACUGAGAGACAUCAUGCAUUUUAUUUCUGAAAUCAAAAGUGAUCAAACAUUAAUGACUGUGAGGAUGAUCAGACAUUUCUGUGUUACUGAUAAUUUCCAGCUUUUACCUCUGUUAUUGCAGACAUGCUAGGAGACUGCUCUCAAUAAAUAAAAUAUACAAUUCUUAUGCUCUCA